rnacentral:rRNA from 1 species
AUGAACGCUGGCGGCGUGCCUAAUACAUGCAAGUCGAGCGAACAGACGAGGAGCUUGCUCCUCUGACGUUAGCGGCGGACGGGUGAGUAACACGUGGAUAACCUACCUAUAAGACUGGGAUAACUUCGGGAAACCGGAGCUAAUACCGGAUAAUAUAUUGAACCGCAUGGUUCAAUAGUGAAAGACGGUUUUGCUGUCACUUAUAGAUGGAUCCGCGCCGCAUUAGCUAGUUGGUAAGGUAACGGCUUACCAAGGCAACGAUGCGUAGCCGACCUGAGAGGGUGAUCGGCCACACUGGAACUGAGACACGGUCCAGACUCCUACGGGAGGCAGCAGUAGGGAAUCUUCCGCAAUGGGCGAAAGCCUGACGGAGCAACGCCGCGUGAGUGAUGGAGGUCUUCGGAUCGUAAAACUCUGUUAUUAGGGAAGAACAAAUGUGUAAGUAACUAUGCACGUCUUGACGGUACCUAAUCAGAAAGCCACGGCUAACUACGU